AAAAUGCUGGAAUUACAGGCGUGAGCCACCGCACCCAGCCAACAUUUAUUUUUUUAAAAAAGAUCUUGUCAAUUCUAGCUCACAUUGUUUAUUAGGCAACAGAAAGUUGUUCAAAGACAGUCGUUGCAAAUGUUACCAUGUGUUACAUAAAAGAAAUUUCAGAAAAUGUGCUUUUGCAGUUGAAAAGGAUUUAUUCUUCCCCUUGGAGGAACGAAUUAGGGACUCAGAACUGCAAGCAACAGAGGCCAACCCCCAGCCUGGAGACUCUGGCCUGGGCUUCUUGCAACCCUAUGCCCCGCCACAAUACGGGCCACCAUGCUAGCUUGCUCACAUUGAGACUACCAGUCUCCAUGUUUUAAAUUAGUCAUUUUUCUUCCUUUUGGUGAGUUCUGUAAGGUUCAAUAAGUAACCUCUCAUCAAUAUUUAUUGCUGGAGAAAGAACUGAAAACUGUGAGUUUGCAUCAAACAAACACUACUGUGUAUAGUAGCAGUGCUGCAAGAAGUAGAACAAGAGCUAUCUGGACAUUCAUCCACAGAGAGUUUGAUUGAUUUGGUGGCUGGGAGAUGAGGGCAUUCCUUGUGAUUGCUUCUGUUUAUGCCAGUGGAGACAAAGUGGUCAGCUGAUGGUGAGGGAAGGAAAGGGAGUAUAGACAGUUUGAGGAGAGAGGACAAUGUGUGAUAUAGCCUCUUUUAGACAGUGGGAAAGGAAACAUCGUAGGAAAUUUCCUCCCAGGGAAUAUUUAAUGAUCCUUUGAGAUUUGUAUAUGUGAAUUCAAUCAGCAUGGUUGAGGCUGUUUUUUAUUUUGUUUCAGGAAUGCUCAGCUUUGUGGUGCAAACACAAAGUAGAAGAGAGCGGGGCUUAACUAGGGAUUAGAGCAUUGCUAGGAGAGUCCAAUAGUGGGAUCAAGCAUCAGGAGAAUGAUUCUAAUGAAGGACCAUGGGUUCUAAGCUGAAUAAGGGGAGAAGGGAGGAACUGAGUCAGGUAAUCUGUAGUGGAAAGUGGAAGUCAGUUGAUUGGAAUACACUAGUCAAGCAGUUGCUCUAGUGCACUCAAGUGAGUGGGCUGGAAGGCUAGUAAGGGAGGGGUGGAGUGUGAGAGAGGGGGAGGUUCCAAGCUGAGAUUGGGAUGCUGUGCAGAACCAAGGAUAUCAAGGUCAUUAAUAUAGCCACAAGAAUGAGAGAUAAAGACAACUGAGUAAAAGCCAAGUCAAACAAGCAAUUUUUGGCGUUAUCUAGUCUCUUCUCUGCACAUUGGUCUCCAAUAUGUAACUAUUUUACCGUUGCAUGGUAACAGGAGACUUGGCAGUUCUCAGAGGACUUACCUUCCUGUUUAUGAAAGAGCGGUGAACUCAGAGGUUAUCACUGGUAGGUAGAUGGUUAACACACAGUAAAUAGACCUAUAAUUUAGAUGGGAGUGAUCAUAGGACAAAGCAUUCUGGCAGUGUUAUAAAACUCCAGGGAAAUCAAGAGGCUAAAUGUGACUUGGAAGGCUGCAAACAAUAAAGGUGGCAAAAAAGGA